GAAUUCAUUGAUCCACAGCCUAAGUGAUUUGGGAAAUACUCAAGGAGAAGCUCCUGUUGGUACAGUCUUUAUUAUGAAGGAUACAAGGCAGAAAGAGCCAGAUGGAAGAGAAGCACAGGACAAGGUAUCGUGGAGGAGGAACAGCAUUUCUUCCCUCUGGAGGAUGUACCAUUCAGAGAACCACCUCAAAUGUGGAAACCAGGCCCUUGUCAGACACCAGACCUGAACACACCUUGACCCUGGAUUUCCUAGGCUCUAGAACUGUGAGAACGAAAUUUCUGUUUUUUAUAAAUUACCUAACCUCAGGACCUCUGUCAUCGCAGCAUAAAUGACCUAAGACAAGUAGACUAACAGAAUGAAUACAAGCAAGAUAUAAAAUAUUAGAGGGUUGCAUGGCACAUGGAAAAUGAUAACACUGAAUAACUACACAACUAAUAAUGAAUGUAAUUUGUAAUAACUACAAAACCUGUAUAAAUAAAGGUACCUAAGAAUUUUCCUAGCCGAGAUUAUCAGUUUACCCUAGGCUCCCAAAGCUGCCUAGCAUGGUGAAAUGGAAUCAUAAGGGUAAGGCUGAGCCUGUUUUCUACAAAGUUCUAUCUGAUGAUUUGCCAAGGUUAGUAGGAUCACUGCAUCACAGUUGUCGGAUACCAACAUUGGAUAAUCAGUAAGCAGCCCUGCUCAGAAGACACAGUGGGCUAGGCAAUUGCAGAAGCUCCCUUCCUUAGUAAUCCAUGUGAGUUGUCCUGAGAUUGUCUUGAAGAUCUCUGGUGUUUAAAUUGCUCUCCUUGUGUAAGUCUGUUGCCUAGAGAGUUGGACUGAAUCAAAGUAAAAAGUGGAAUUAGAACAUAGAGUCAUGACCAUUUGCAGUGAAGGUCAUCUCUUCCCAAGAUCAUUGCCAUCUGUUUUUUCUUUUUAUUUUUACUUAAAUUAAUGAAAUAUUUUCUCCUAGGAAGGAAAGUCCCAUCUAAAACUCAUUUUAAUUACCUCACACUUAUACUCACAAUUCCAGCAUUGGUGUGUAUGACAGACAUUAAGGGACACCAAGAAGUUUGGUGGAAGCCAGUAUUUGAGGUCUAAGGAACUGAGUAGUGUUAGAGUUGGCCACCAGUAGGGAGGUGCAAUUUAGAGUUAACGUCCCAC
rnacentral:lncRNA from 1 species